UCAUCCAGAUCUAAAACAGAAGUAAACCCCACAUAAUGAGCUGGAGAUCAGAAAAUACACAUUCAGCUCUUAAUGAAGCUUAUUAUCAGAGCAGACAGGCAGUUAUUUAGCUCCAUCUGAUCUUUAUUUUGACAAAAGAAACACAUAAAAGAAGUGACACUCCACUAAUCCGCUGGUGCCAUGAUGAGAGCUGAAUGUGCAAGUGUGGCAUUUUGUUCUUUUUCCCAGCGCUGAAAGUAGACACUUGGUUCCGUAUUUGAAAA